rnacentral:rRNA from 1 species
UACAGAGGUCUCAAGCGUUGUUCGGAUUCAUUGGGCGUAAAGGGCGCGUAGGCGGCGGGGUCAGUCGGGUGUGAAAUCUUGGGGCUUAACCCCGAAACGGCACUCGAAACUGCCCGGCUGGAGGGCCGGAGAGGAGAUCGGAAUUCACGGUGUAGCAGUGAAAUGCGUAGAGAUCGUGAGGAAGACCCGUGGCGAAGGCGGAUCUCUGGACGGCUAAACUGACGCUGAGGCGCGAAGGCCAGGGGAGCAAACGGG